GCCCGGUUAGCUCAGUUGGUAGAGCAUGAGUCUCUUAAUCUCAGGGUUGUGGGUUCAAGCCCCACGUUGGGCG